rnacentral:misc_RNA from 1 species
UCCGGAAUUUCCUCACCCGAGCUGUCGAGCACGGCAUCCGUGAACAUGUGAUGGCCGACGUUGCGGAUCAGCAUCAUGCUGCGGCCGUGCAGGGUCACCUUGCCCUUCUCGUGGUGUAGGUGCGGUCGGCAUUGAGCGCGCGGGUCAGUGUCUUGCCGCCCUUCUCGAAGUCGGCCGACAGCGUGCCGUUCAUUAGGCCGAGCACGUUGCGGUAGACCA